rnacentral:rRNA from 1 species
GGGGGAAACCCUGAUCCAGCAAUGCCGCGUGUGCGAAGAAGGCCUUCGGGUUGUAAAGCACUUUUGUCAGGGAAGAAAUCCUUUGGGCUAAUACCCUAGGGGGAUGACGGUACCUGAAGAAUAAGCACCGGCUAACUACGUGCCAGCAGCCGCGGUAAUACGUAGGGUGCAAGCGUUAAUCGGAAUUACUGGGCGUAAAGCGUGCGCAGGCGGUUGUGUAAGACAGGUGUGAAAUCCCCGGGCUUAACCUGGGAAUUGCAUUUGUGACUGCACGACUAGAGUGUGUCAGAGGGGGGUGGAAUUCCACGUGUAGCAGUGAAAUGCGUAGAUAUGUGGAGGAACACCAAUGGCGAAGGCAGCCCCCUGGGAUAACACUGACGCUCAUGCACGAAAGCGUGGGGAGCAAACAGGAUUAGAUACCCUGGUAGUCCACGCCCUAAACGAUGUCAACUAGUUGUUGGGGAUUUACUUCCUUGGUAACGUAGCUAACGC